rnacentral:rRNA from 1 species
UGGUGAUGAUGGCGGAGGGGUUCCACGCGUACCCAUCCCGAACACGACCGUUAAGCCCUCCAGCGCCGAUGGUACUUGGACCGAAGGGUCCUGGGAGAGUAGGACGUCGCCAAGCG